GAUAAAGGCCGUGGAGGGGUGCAGACAAGGAAAGGGAACCAGGAGGUGUACUUGCAAACUUGACCUACUAAAGGCAUGGCUUCCAGAGCUCUGAGGACAGUUGACCUUCAAAACAACGAUUGACCUUGGGGAAAGGAUGAGUCACAGAGGCUCCAGGGCCUGGUUCCUGCUGGCAGAGCUUCCAGCCUCUGAGUCCCAGAGUGUUCUCUCCUAGGAGUGAAACAUGUACUUGGUAGAUGUCGGCUGCCUCCACCAAAUGCAAAAACGCAUCUCAUCCUGUGAGCUGACCUUGCUGGGGGCACCGUCUGGGAGUCGUUUUUGAUUAGAAGUUGACCUCAGAAAUAUGCUCACAUCAUUUUGAAAGCAUCUUCCAGCACCACAGAAAUCGACUCAGAUGGAGAAAGGACACUGAGUGGACAGGGGCCAGGAUGGGGCGUGGACGCUCUGCCUCUGCCGGGGACAAGGCCUUCCCACAGACUCCCUGGGGUGUUGCCAGCCUGAGUCAGAGAUAUUGAUGUAAUGCCUACCGUGUUCCAGACACGCUGCGAGGCCCUGGGGAUGCAGCCACAAUCCCAACAGAUCUGAUGCCUGCUCUCAUGGAACUGACUUUGCACUGGGGGGAGGCCAACUCCACGAAAACAGAAACUGGAUGACACAUUGGAGGGAGAGCAGUAAAAGGAGCAAGCAGAGAGCAAGAACAACAGUGUUGCCAUGGGGCGGGUGGGCCCGCUGUAGCCAGGGAGGGCCUCUCCGAAGGUAUAACAGGUAAGCUGAGCCCUGGAUGCUGAGAAGGACCAGCCUCAGGAGCAGGGCCCCUCUGCAGCAAUGCCUAGUACAGAGGCUUAGAGAAGACAUGGGCACGUGCACCAGGCAUCCCAUGGGCAGGGCUACCUGAGUUCCAUAUGUGUGUGGAGAGGUCCCGCAGGGCCUGGGUGCGUGACGAGGAUGAAUAAAGUGGGUGGAGGGUAAUGCCACAGUGAGGGGCAGAUGGUGGCCAGUUGACAACACGUGCCCCCAUCAAAGAGGUGGUUGCUACUCAGCUCUGACUCAUGGUCACCAAAAAGGAUGUGGGGCGAGUGUGGCCAGAUCAUCUAGUUCUUCAAAAGAAAGUAGAAAUCUAAACAUUUUUUUUUUGGUAAAGACAUCUGAAUUUCAAGUGCUUUUAUUAAAAGAAGCAAAAAGAGGCCUGGCACGGUGGCUCACGUCUGUAAUCCCAGCACUUUGGGAGGCUGAGGUAGACAGAUCACUUGAGGUUGGGAGUUCGAGACCAGCCUGGCCAACAUGGAGAAACCCCGUCUCUACUGAAAAUACAAAAAAAAUUAGCUGGGCAUGGUGGCAGGUGCCUGCAAUCCCAGCCACUCGGGAGGCUGAGGAGCGAGAAUCACUUGAACCCGGGAGGCAGAGGUUGCAGUGAGCUGAGAUCACGCUACUGCACUCCAGCCUGGGUGACAGAGCAAGAACCUGCCUUAAAAGAAGAAGAAAAAAAAAAAAAAAAACACUGGGUGGAUGAAAAAAAAACAUCCCCAAGCCAGGUCCAGCCUGCAGGUCACCAUUUUGCAGCCUUUGGGUGGAAAGCCGGAUUGGACUGCAGCAGCCUAGUACUCAAGGAGAGGGCACGGCAGGGAGAGGAGACAGCAGCGGAAAGGCCUGAGCUGGGACAGUCGAAGAGCUGUGAGCGGCUUGCUAUGGCUGAAACGUAGUUUGAGUGUGACCACAAAACAUGGCAGACUGUGACCACAUUGCAAGGAUCUCGGAGGCUUGGUAAAAGGGUUCUCUUCCCCGGAGAUGUGGCACAGUGUCCGAUCCCCGUGCCUUUCCUCAUACAGUGCCCUCCCCCCUUUCUCCGCAUGUCUACGUUCUGACUCUAGUGCCACUUUUUCCACAGUCUCCCUGGUCCCCCUCCCACCCACCAUCAAGAUGGGAUCUCUCCCUCCUGGGAGCACCUACUGCACUUUGCUUUCAUUCAUUCAUUUUUUAAAAUUAAUUAAUUAAUUGGUUUAUUUAUUUUGAGAUGGAGUCUCACUCUGUUGCUCAGGCUGGAGUGCAACGUCACGAUCUCGGCUCACUGCAAACUCCGCCUCCCGGGUUCAAGCAAUUCUCCUGCCUCAGCCUCCCAAGUACCUGGGAUUAUAGGCAUGCGUCACCACACCCAGCUCGU
rnacentral:lncRNA from 1 species